UAUAAAUAAACUAAUACAAAACAACAACAUACUUUCACAUUUAAUUUUUAAAUGAAACACUGAAUGCAGUGCAUUUUGAUGUGGGUAAAGCUCUGUAACAUUUCAUGUACAGAAAAACACUGCAUAAACAAAACAAUGAAAAGGCACAACAAAUGUAUCCUCAUUUGGUCCAUAUGCAUUUUGAAUAUUAUAUGGUUUAUAAUGCAUAAGAUCAUCAGCUUUCACAACAGCAUCAAACUCAUUUCCAUCAACAACUCUGAAUCCAUAACAAUGCUCACUGAAGAGCUCUGUAACAAGUUUUUCAACCACAAAGUAAACAUUUUCACCCAACACAAGAAUGUUGGUAAUUUUACAGAAUAAUGGCAUCUCAUGUUUUAUCUCUGUGCAUAUGGCAAGACCAGUUUUAUAUUAUGUGCCAUCAAGUUUAGUCCAACUGGUAGAGUAAAUGUCUGUCUGUACUGUGAUUUGCAAAGCAUUGGCCAAGUCUUCACCAUUUUCAUAGUCACUUAGGGA